GAUGAACGCUGGCGGCGUGCCUAACACAUGCAAGUCGAGCGAUUCUCUUCGGAGAAGAGCGGCGGACGGGUGAGUAACGCGUGGGUAACCUGCCCUGUACACACGGAUAACAUACCGAAAGGUAUGCUAAUACGGGAUAAUAUGCUUUAGUCGCAUGGCUGAAGUAUCAAAGCUCCGGCGGUACAGGAUGGACCCGCGUCUGAUUAGCUAGUUGGUAAGGUAAUGGCUUACCAAGGCGACGAUCAGUAGCCGACCUGAGAGGGUGAUCGGCCACAUUGGAACUGAGACACGGUCCAAACUCCUACGGGAGGCAGCAGUGGGGAAUAUUGCACAAUGGGCGAAAGCCUGAUGCAGCAACGCCGCGUGAGCGAUGAAGGCCUUCGGGUCGUAAAGCUCUGUCCUCAAGGAAGAUAACGACGGUACUUGAGGAGGAAGCCCCGGCUAACUACGUGCCAGCAGCCGCAGUAA
rnacentral:rRNA from 1 species